AUUGAACGCUGGCGGCAUGCUUUACACAUGCAAGUCGAACGGCAGCGCGGGCUUCGGCCUGGCGGCGAGUGGCGAACGGGUGAGUAAUACAUCGGAACGUGCCCAGUAGUGGGGGAUAGCUCGGCGAAAGCCGGAUUAAUACCGCAUACGACCUGAUGGUGAAAGCGGGGGAUGUUCGGACCUCGCGCGAUUGGAGCGGCCGAUGGCCGAUUAGCUAGUUGGUGGGGUAAAGGCCUACCAAGGCGACGAUCUGUAGCUGGUCUGAGAGGGCGACCAGCCACACUGGGACUGAGACACGGCCCAGACUCCUACGGGAGGCAGCAGUGGGGAAUUUUGGACAAUGGGCGAAAGCCUGAUCCAGCAAUGCCGCGUGUGUGAUGAAGGCCUUCGGGUUGUAAAGCACUUUUGGCGGGAACGAAAAGGACUGUGCCAAUACCACGGUUCGAUGACGGUACCCGCAGAAUAAGCACCGGCUAACUACGUG
rnacentral:rRNA from 1 species